rnacentral:sRNA from 1 species
GCCCCUGCCCAGGCCACAAGCGUUCCACGAGCGAAGGUGCCUGGCCGCAGCUGCCCUCUGGUCUCUCCAUGAUGAGGUGCCUCCACAACUUCCUGACAGAUGGGGUCCCUGCGGAGGGGGCGUUCACUGAAGACUUCCAGGGCCUACGGGUAGAGGUGGAGACCAUCUCCAAGGAACUGGAGCGUUUGGACAGAGAGCUGUGCCAGCUGCUGCUGAAGGGCCUGGAGGGGGUGCUGCGGGACCAGCUGGCCCUGCGAGCCUUGGAGGAGGCGGUGAGCGGGGGAGGAUGCCUGGGGCACACAAGGCCUGCCCAGCCAGCCAGGCUCACCUGCCCUUCCCAUGCCCACAGCUGGAGCAGGGCCAGAGCCUUGGGCCGGUGGAGCCCCUGGACGGUCCAGCAGGUGCUGUCCUGGAGUGCCUGGUGUUCUCCUCCGGAGUGCUGGUGCUGGAACUCGCCAUCCCUGUUGUCUACCUGCUGGGGGCACUGACCAUGCUGAGUGAAACGCAGCACAAGCUGCUGGCGGAGGCGCUGGAGUCGCAGACCCUGUUGGGGCCGCUCGAGCUGGUGGGCAGCCUCUUGGAGCAGAGUGCCCCGUGGCAGGAGCGCAGCACCAUGUCCCUGCCCCCCGGGCUCCUGGGGAGCAGCUGGGGCGAAGGGGCACCGGCCUGGGUCUUGCUGGACGAGUGUGGCCUGGAGCUGGGGGAGGACACUCCCCACGUGUGCUGGGAGCCGCAGGCCCAGGGCCGCAUGUGUGCACUCUACGCCUCCCUGGCACUGCUAUCAGGACUGAGCCAGGAGCCCCACUAGCCUGUGCCCGGGCAUGGCCUGGCAGCUCUCCAGCAGGGCAGAGUGUUUGCCCACCAGCUGCUAGCCCUAGGAAGGCCAGGAGCCCAGUAGCCAUGUGGCCCGUCUACCAUGGGGCCCAGGAGU